rnacentral:misc_RNA from 1 species
GAUGAAGAACGUAGCGAAAUGCGAUAAGUAAUGUGAAUUGCAGAAUUCAGUGAAUCAUCGAAUCUUUGAACGCACAUUGCGCCCGCUAGUAUUCUGGCGGGCAUGCCUGUCCGAGCGUCAUUACAACCCUCAGGCCCCCGGGCCUGGCGUUGGGGAUCGGCGGAAGCCCCCUGCGGGCACAACGCCGUCCCCCAAAUACAGUGGCGGUCCCGCCGCAGCUUCCAUUGCGUAGUAGCUAACACCUCGCAACUGGAGAGCGGCGCGGCCACGCCGUAAAACACCCAACUUCUGAAUGUUGACCUCGAAUCAGGUAGGAAUACCCGCUGAACUUAAGCAUAUCAAUAAGCGGAGGA